rnacentral:rRNA from 1 species
GACGAACGCUGGCGGCGUGCUUAACACAUGCAAGUCGAACGGAAAGGCCCUGCUUUUGUGGGGUGCUCGAGUGGCGAACGGGUGAGUAACACGUGAGUAACCUGCCCUUGACUUUGGGAUAACUUCAGGAAACUGGGGCUAAUACCGGAUAGGAGCUCCUGCUGCAUGGUGGGGGUUGGAAAGCUUCGGCGGUUGGGGAUGGACUCGCGGCUUAUCAGCUUGUUGGUGGGGUAGUGGCUUACCAAGGCCUUGAGGGGUAGCCGGCCUGAGAGGGUGACCGGCCACAUUGGGACUGAGAUACGGCCCAGACUCCUACGGGAGGCAGCAGUGGGGAAUAUUGCACAAUGGGCGGAAGCCUGAUGCAGCAACGCCGCGUGCGGGAUGACGGCCUUCGGGUUGUAAACCGCUUUCGCCUGUGACGAAGCGUGAGUGACGGUAAUGGGUAAAGAAGCACCGGCUAACUACGUG